GAGUUGGGGAUACCCGAAGACCUGUGAGCUAACAGUAAUGAAGCAGCAGUCGAAGGUAGAAUCAAUGAUUGGGGUGAAGUCGUAACAAGGUAAC
rnacentral:rRNA from 1 species